rnacentral:lncRNA from 1 species
CUACUCAAGAUUAAGAAUGCAAGGAAGGUAAUGUAACGUAGAAAGAGCCCGCUUGUCAUUGGCUCCUAAUCUAGACGAUUUUCCCACAAGAGUGUCCAUUGUUACUGCGACAUACCAUCAUGACAUUCAGUGUUACGCUCUCCUGUCAAUACUAUGCAGUGAACUAUAACAUUAAAAUGUUGUGUAAAUUCUGUCUCUCCAUUUCCUCCCUCAUUCUAUCACUUGGUUGACUGACCUUGAGAUUUAUGAAAUGUUUGCAUGUAAUUUUCCCAGACAGGGCUCCUUGGGUUGACCUCUUAUUUGCUUUUGGAUGCUUUUCUGGAAAUGAUCCCCAACACUAACCUCCUUCUGCAUAUGUCCUUCAUUCCCAGAUGUUCAUCGGAAAGCAGAUCGAAUGUUUCCUCAUGCUCAGGAACUGCUGAAGCAGCAGGACCAGCUCACAUGAAAAUCAGACAUCCAACAGAUGUCUUUAAAGAGUUUAGCAAGAUUAAAUUUAAGAGGCCAUUUAAAGAAGCACAGCAUUUGUCUACUGAACACUAAAGUAUCACUCAGGAAGAUAUUAAGUAAGUGAAAGUUAUGAAAAAUACUCUGGUGAAUGUGUUCCAUUAAAAUUGCCUGUCAUUUUCCCCAACGCAUGCAGAGUUCUUACUAUUCUCACCGAGCUUCUCUAGUUUGUUAGGCAACUAACAUACCA